AUUAACCUCACUGUUUCCCACCAAAAAAUAUGUUUCAGACUAAAUAUAACUCGGCAUUCCAGGGAAUAAGAAAAUGCAGUUCUUGAAUUUUCCCAGCUUCAAUAUUUGGUUUUUGAUUUGGUAUUUUAAUUUUAAACCCCUCCAAAAAUAAAAGGAAACCAAUUGCUCCACAAGAGCAGAAAACUCAGGUUACUACAAUUAAGCACCCCUAAACAGAGACAAAAACAGAGAAGCUAUAGCACUGAAGAAUAUUUAAUUAUUUAUAAUUAAAACCAUUUUAAGACAAAAUCAGAUAAAAUCUUAAGCUGAUCAAUGCUCACGUAGAAGCCUGAAACAUCAACUUCGGACUUACAAGUUUUAAUUAUAUAAAAAAAAAACUAAAACAAAAAUGUGAAAGAAAAAAAGAAGACAUAAAGCAGCUAGCUUGUAUUGUUAACGGUAAUUCUAGUGGUUGGUGUUGGUGUAGAGUGGUGGGCAUGAUGGGAAUAUCAGAUGCUCAGUUGCUGACGCUUCUGGCAGGUUGAUAAGAGAAGAGAAAGACUUAAUCAUCCAAUCCAGCAUCAUCUUCUUAACAGAUCGUUUCUUUUUUGGAAAUAAGCUUCCUUUCUUUUGCUUGAACAACCUUGGCUGCGUCUUCGAGUUUGUCACUUGUUCACCAGGAUUCGCCACCAUUCCUGGCUUCCUUUCGGCUACCUCCGGGUACACCUUCACCGUCAUUUCUCUCUCUC
rnacentral:lncRNA from 1 species